rnacentral:tRNA from 1 species
AAUAAAGUAAGCUAAGAUUUAAGCUGUUGGGUUCAUACCUCAGAAAUGGAUGUAGAUUUCUCUUUAUUA